rnacentral:rRNA from 1 species
UACAGAGGGUGCCAGCGUUGUCCGGAUUUACUGGGCGUAAAGAGCGCGCAGGCGGUCGUUCAAGUCGAGUGUGAAAGCCCCCGGCUCAACUGGGGAGGGUCAUUCGAUACUGAUCGACUCGAAGGCAGGAGAGGGAAGUGGAAUUCCCGGUGUAGUGGUGAAAUGCGUAGAUAUCGGGAAGAACACCCGUGGCGAAGGCGGCUCUCUGGGACGGUACUGACGCUGAGACGCGAAAGCGUGGGGAGCGAACAGG